rnacentral:tRNA from 1 species
GUUUGUGGCUCAGUGGUAGAGCGCUCACCUAGCAUAUGCAAGGCCCUGAGUUAGAUCCUCAGCACUACA